GACGAACGCUGGCGGCGUGCUUAACACAUGCAAGUCGAACGGAAAGGCCCUGCUUUUGUGGGGUGCUCGAGUGGCGAACGGGUGAGUAACACGUGAGUAACCUGCCCUUGACUUUGGGAUAACUUCAGGAAACUGGGGCUAAUACCGGAUAGGAGCUCCUGCUGCAUGGUGGGGGUUGGAAAGUUUCGGCGGUUGGGGAUGGACUCGCGGCUUAUCAGCUUGUUGGUGGGGUAGUGGCUUACCAAGGCUUUGACGGGUAGCCGGCCUGAGAGGGUGACCGGCCAAAUUGGGACUGAGAUACGGCCCAGACUCCUACGGGGGGCAGCAGGGGGGAAUAGUGCACAAUGGGCGGAAGCCUGAUGCAGCAACGCCGCGUGCGGGAUGACGGCCUUCGGGUUGUAAACCGCUUUCGACUGUGACGAAGAGUGAGUGACGGUAAUGGGUAAAGAAGCACCGGCUAACUACGUG
rnacentral:rRNA from 1 species